GCUGACACAUCCCGGCCAAUCUCCAGCAGACCCUCCCUCCCAGACCCUCCACCUCCUGGACAGCAUCCAUGUUGAAGCUUCCUUCAACAUAGAUGCUGUCCAGGAGGUUGGAGGGUCUGGGAGGGAGGUUCUGCUGGAGAUUGGCCAGGAUGUGUCAG
rnacentral:miRNA from 1 species